rnacentral:rRNA from 1 species
AUUGAACGCUGGCGGCAGGCCUAACACAUGCAAGUCGAACGGUAGCACAGAGAGUUUGCUCUCGGGUGACGAGUGGCGGACGGGUGAGUAAUGUCUGGGAAACUGCCCGAUGGAGGGGGAUAACUACUGGAAACGGUAGCUAAUACCGCAUAACGUCGCAAGACCAAAGUGGGGGACCUUCGGGCCUCACACCAUCGGAUGUGCCCAGAUGGGAUUAGCUAGUAGGUGGGGUAAUGGCUCACCUAGGCGACGAUCCCUAGCUGGUCUGAGAGGAUGACCAGCCAAACUGGAACUGAGACACGGUCCAGACUCCUACGGGAGGCAGCAGUGGGGAAUAUUGCACAAUGGGCGCAAGCCUGAUGCAGCCAUGCCGCGUGUAUGAAGAAGGCCUUCGGGUUGUAAAGUACUUUCAGCGGGGAGGAAGGCGGUGAAGUUAAUAGCUUCACCGAUUGACGUUACCCGCAGAAGAAGCACCGGCUAACUCCGUGCCAGCCGCCGCCGUAA